UGAGCUACUGAUGACAGCUGGUGGUAUAUGAGUAAUGGAUGAUGACGACUAUUAAGUAUCUGGAACUCUGAAGUCCAA